rnacentral:lncRNA from 1 species
CAUCGGAGGUCCAUCUCCUAAAUCUCGGUCGUAAAUGGGGUUUGGUACAUUAGGAGGAGUUGUUCUUGCAUCGAAACUACUCUGGAGAUUUAUGGUUUGCCUUCAAGUUACUCUUCCCCACUUCGCUUUGGCGUUCAGGCAUGGCGAAGGUGCAUAUCGAAAUUAGUUGACUUGGUAGAGUCUUUUGUCUUCUUGAAUUUCCAGUUUUACUAUCACUUUGAUUUCUGUCCCAUCUUAGUAUGAUUGCAGCUUCUUGCCCUUCGAGCCACCUUAAGGCGAGGCCUCGCCUUAACAACUCACCUCGGAUAACACUUCCCAUACACUUAUCGUGUGGGUAGGCAAUUUCAAGUUGUUGGUCCCAAACCUAUCUCAUUUCCUCAUUUUACCUGUAUGCGCUUAUGGCCACAUCCCCACAGUUUUUCUUCACCGCUAGGGAAAUGAUUGACUUGGGCCUUGCCCUGAUUGGGCCUGGUUGCCCUCUGAACAUCGACCAAUAGCUGUUCCCUCUCGCCCGGCGUUCUAAGGCACGAUAGGUACUCUAUUUGGGCUUCUCGAACUGCCUCUGUGCCAUGAUGCUUCUGAAUUCCAGCAAAACCAACUUUGUUGUGACUAGGGUCAACUUUCCACAUACACGCCAAUUGUGGUUUGUGGAUUGAUAAAAAUCGAACAUAACGCUACCAGUGGCUGGCAAGUGGUUUCUGACGGAAACCUACAAGAUAGAACAAUGAAGAAAGACCGUCUAGAGCCGUUUCAUAGACAAUUUUUGACUUUCAAGUUGUUACUGAAAAAAAGAGAGUAAGAGGGGAGUGCUUGACUUUAGUUUUAGAGAGAGAAACACUAUUGGCUUACUUAUAGAGUGAGGGUCCUGUCCCCUUUUGUAGUGUAGCUCAGUCAGUGUGAGAAGUGCCGGACCUUUCAAUCAGCGAAGUGAUACUGAUCAAAUCAUGACCUUAUGCGUGACAAGUAACUAGCCUAUCGCAUCAUCGAAUUUGAACUCAAGGGGGUUUUUUUUUUUUGUUUUUUUUUUUUUUUUUUUUUUUGGGGCGGGGGGGGGGGGGGGCGUGCAAGCAACAGGCAAACUCACUUUGGUAUGUUACCCUUCUAUAAUCUGACAUGUCAUGGUUAGGCUCCAUCUUGCAAAAAGUUUAUUGGCCGAGUUUUUGCGCGAGAUACCAAUCGAACUUGCUAUGAAACAACAGUCCCCAACACAAUGCCUUUCCGAUCGAAAAUGAAGUAAAGAUAUUUUAUCCUCUCAUAUUACGUAUACUUGGCGCACCUUGUUAACACGCGAAGAUUCGUUGCGCAUCUUGCAUGAAACCGUAAAGGUCGUCGAUCGGAGACGUUGAGAGAUAGGAGAUUUUAAAGCCGUCAUGUUCGAAGAAAUUUCUUUUGCGACAAGGAUUUAUUGCACGGCUCUUCGCUCCAUCUUUGGCAGGAAACCCGUGAAAUUCCGUCGGAGUCGGAGAGGUUGGGAUAGGAUAGAUCGAAAGCCGGCACUUUCGAAGAAAUUUCUUGCGACUAGAGAUUUUUGGCACUGCAUGAGUAUAGUUUUCUUUUUGUAAAAUUUGCAACAGACAGAAAGGGCCUCCGGAUCACCUUACCCUGAGAGCUGUACCCUGUUUCUGGACCAGCCUUUUUUACUUGACACAUGGCAACCAGCUCACAUUAUGGCAUUUUUAUUUAAUAUGUUUAAAAUAGUAACGGACAUUAAAGAGUUUACAUUUCCAAAAAACAAUUACUAUAAGAAAAAAAAACUUAUCCCCCAAAAUUGCCUAACUAAUAUAUUUUUUAAUUUAUAGUAUUUUACUAUAAUAAUCUUAAUUAUUUAUAUUGAAAAAACAUAUGAAAUUUUCUUAAAUAGCCACAUUCUCUGAGGUGUUUUUGCAUCUUUACAAAAACUUAUGUAAAACGUUGUGAUUUUUGAUACAUAUUUUUAAAAUAUUCGUUAAGAUAUUGCAACUCUAUAAGUUACAUAAAAUAUAGAAAUAAAUUAGUAUUCAUUUACAAAAUUAAUUAAAAAUGUGAUUUUAGAUUUAAAGUUGAAUAAUCAUGAUAUAUGUAUGUUUUCCCUUUAUUUCUUUAAUCAUAAUAUUAUCUGGGAAUUUAUUUGUCAUGUCUCAAUAAAAGAAUAAGGGCAAAAAGGGAAUAAAUUUGUAUAAAAAAUUCAUUUCGUUAACUAUGUUUUUUGCAUUAUUUUUCAUUAUAUUUUUAACUCGAACGGUGUCGUUCUCACGUCAUUUGCAGGGAUCCGGUUUGAGUUUUGCUUUGGAUGAGGGCUGUGGAUUAGCCAUGUUGUCCAUCAGAGAAGGCUGGUACAUAACUGGUACAUCCUUUAAGGUACAGGUGAUCUUGAGCCAAGGAAAGUGGUCCACAGGGGUUGGGCCAGCGGAUAGAGAGUUCUAUCCACACACGUUACUAUCCAAAAAAACUAAAAAAUCCACACACAUCCACGGGGCAAAAUAGGUACUAUAAUGGGAUGUGUAGUGAAAUUUUAAUGCAA